rnacentral:misc_RNA from 1 species
CAUGCAUUUUAUUAUAUUAUUUGCCGUGUAUUUCAUCUUUCAACUGUUCAACUAGUGUGAUAUAUAAUGUUCGUGUUUUUCAAAAAGUUGUCUAAGCGAACAAAGUUUCAAUCAAUAUCAUGUACGUGACUGUUUUCCUGAUUCCGCAAACGACAGUGCUGCAAUACAAAGUUGUUAUGCAAUCUCUUGCUUCGCUCUCUUAUUUUCACUGGAAACUUGUUAAUUGACAAUUGCCUUUCGAUUCAACGUCUCGCCGAGACCAGACGAUUUCAAUCGUCACAUUUCCUCUUUGUUACAUCAAUCAUUGAUGGAAACGCAACGAUCAUCUUCCGAUUACUGAUUAAUCUUGUGUCAUCUUAGGAUCCAUGAGAUGAACAUUCAAAGUGAAAAUAUUUUUGCUAACAUUUUAGUGAUUCAUCGAUCAAUUCUGGCAAUCAUCUCGAUGAUCAGAUGUUCACAUAAUCAUGUGAGACGUUACAACUUUCUAACUUUAAAUAUUUUUCACAUACUAGACACAGGGAUUAAUUUUGAACCGUAUAUCGGAGUCUGUGCAUAGCCAUUUUUUUCCUUCACUGUGCAAAUCCGCAAAGUGACCACACGUAUGGGUACCAGCAUUCUACUCCGUUCGCGUAUCACGUAUAUACGCACACCCACGCACGUGUACAUACACAGUACACACGCACACAUACGUAUAUCGGUGAUAUCACUCUCAUGUAACGAUCCAAUACAUUUUAAUCAUAUUCGAUUACAAGAUGUAAUGACGUAAGAAAAUAUUAAAGACAUGAUUUUCAAGAGCGAUACGCGCAUAUGCGCGCGUGCAUGUACACAUAUACAGGGUGCAAUUCGGAUCCCGAGCCCGUGCCUGAGCGUCUCUUAUAAACACUGCCUCGAAGGCUCAAAAGAAGAAAGUGGUGGUGAAGUGGUGGAUAAGGACGAGAUCCAGGAGUCGCGCAUAGUGUGGUAUAUCAC